rnacentral:rRNA from 1 species
AUUGAACGCUGGCGGCAGGCCUAACACAUGCAAGUCGAGCGGAUGAAGGGAGCUUGCUCCUGGAUUCAGCGGCGGACGGGUGAGUAAUGCCUAGGAAUCUGCCUGGUAGUGGGGGAUAACGUCCGGAAACGGGCGCUAAUACCGCAUACGUCCUGAGGGAGAAAGCGGGGGAUCUUCGGACCUCACGCUAUCAGAUGAGCCUAGGGCGGAUUAGCUAGUUGGUGGGGUAAAGGCCUACCAAGGCGACGACCCGUAACUGGUCUGAGAGGAUGAUCAGUCACACUGGAACUGAGACACGGUCCAGACUCCUACGGGAGGCAGCAGUGGGGAAUAUUGGACAAUGGGCGAAAGCCUGAUCCAGCCAUGCCGCGUGUGUGAAGAAGGUCUUCGGAUUGUAAAGCACUUUAAGUUGGGAGGAAGGGCAGUAAGUUAAUACCUUGCUGUGUUGACGUUACCAACAGAAUAAGCACCGGCUAACUUCGUG